GACGUAGGGCGCGAGCGUUGUCCAGAUUUAUUGGGCGUAAAGAGCUUGUAGGCGGUUUGUCGCGUCUGCCGUGAAAAUCCGGGGCUCAACCCCGGACUUGCGGUGGGUACGGGCAGACUAGAGUGUGGUAGGGGAGACUGGAAUUCCUGGUGUAGCGGUGAAAUGCGCAGAUAUCAGGAGGAACACCGAUGGCGAAGGCAGGUCUCUGGGCCACUACUGACGCUGAGAAGCGAAAGCGUGGGGAGCGAACAGG
rnacentral:rRNA from 1 species